GACGAACGCUGGCGGCGUGCUUAACACAUGCAAGUCGAACGGAAAGGCCUGCUUUCCCUUGUGGAUUGCGGGUCCUCGAGUGGCGAACGGGUGAGUACCACGUGAUUUAUUUUCCCCCAACUUGGGUAUAAGCCUGGGAAACUGGGUCUAAUUCCCGAUAGGACUGCAGGGUGGUGCCUGUGGUGGAAAACUGUUUUCUUGUGGUUGGGGAUGAGCUCGCGGCCUAUCAGCUUGUUGGUGGGGUACUGGCCUACCAAGGCGGCGACGGGUAGCCGGAGUGGGAGCGGCGACGGGCAAAUUGGGACUGAGAUACGGCUCAGACUCGUACGGGAGGCAGCAGUGGGGAAUAUAGCAGAAUGGGCGGGAGCCUGAUGCAGCGAGGCCGUGUGGGAGAUGACAGCGUUGGGGUUGUAAACUCCUGUGGAAGAAGAGGAGGCGACUUGGUUGGAAGGGUGGUGACGGUAGUGGUAGAAGAAGCACCGGCUAACUACGUG
rnacentral:rRNA from 1 species